rnacentral:lncRNA from 1 species
GUUUUGUGAGCAAGAACAAGAGAGUGACAGGGAGUAUACACGCAGUUGUUAUUAAGGUUAGUGUUAGAGAAAUUGGGGAUUGGGUUUGGUAGAGAAAUCGCGAGCAAUAGAGCUUAAUCGAGGGUAGGAGAUUGAAUCCUUUUAUAAAUCAAGUCGUUCAUGUUUAUAUACAAUUGAAUAUAUGCUUGUUUGAUUGAAUCGGUGUGGGGAAGAGUUGCGAACAGAGGUGAUGGUUGUAAGCUGUUCGAGGGGCGGCGGGGGUGACGGCAAGUGAAGGCUGGCCGCAGUAGUAGUAGAGGGAGGAGUUGAUGAAGCGGCCCCGCGUUAGGGUGAAUCAGAAAGAAGACGGAGAUGGGAGGAGGUCACAUGGAUGAGAAGUCAGAGUUGGUGAUUGGGUUCUGUUGAGAGUUCGACUAGAGAUACAAGGUGAAGAGAAAGUGUGGCUGGGAAGGAGUAAAGACGCCGCAAUUUGGCCACGCGACGGCGUGAUAACAGUAGUGAACUGAAGGCAUAUAGUCGGAGGUGGGUUGUGCGGGUAGGCAGCGAACUGCGACCUCGCCGGAAAGCCGAUCAGCGAUUCCGCGGAAAAGGCUGCAGUGGCUGCAUGGUGGUUGUUAGGUUCGGAAACGAUUGCAGGGGGGGUUGAAUACAGUAGUUACAAUAUAAUCACGGGAUAAAUCUGAUUUGUAUAUAACUGGAAAAUCAGAUUUAAAUUAAUUAUUACAAUGUUUAAAGUUGUUAUAUAAUUAAAGGGGUUCAGUUUUAAUGUCCACUAACGUUCAUAGAAUAAAUUCGACAAG